UUCAUCGUGCCGCAACGGAUAACGCGUCGGUCUACGGAACCGAAGAUUGCGGGUUCGAAUCCUUAGCCUUAUAAAU